GUUCUGGUGGCCUAGUGGUUAGAGCGUCAGUUUCGGAUGCGAGAGGUCGUGGGUUCGAUUCCCAGUCGAAUCA